rnacentral:rRNA from 1 species
CUCUGAGACAGGUGCUGCAUGGCUGUCGUCAGCUCGUGUUGUGAAAUGUUGGGUUAAGUCCCGCAACGAGCGCAACCCUUAUCCUUUGUUGCCAGCGGUUAGGCCGGGAACUCAAAGGAGACUGCCAGUGAUAAACUGGAGGAAGGUGGGGAUGACGUCAAGUCAUCAUGGCCCUUACGAGUAGGGCUACACACGUGCUACAAUGGCGCAUACAAAGAGAAGCGACCUCGCGAGAGCAAGCGGACCUCAUAAAGUGCGUCGUAGUCCGGAUUGGAGUCUGCAACUCGACUCCAUGAAGUCGGAAUCGCUAGUAAUCGUGGAUCAGAAUGCCACGGUGAAUACGUUCCCGGGCCUUGUACACACCGCCCGUCACACCAUGGGAGUGGGUUGCAAAAGAAGUAGGUAGCUUAACCUUCGGGAGGGCGCUUACCACUUUGUGAUUCAUGACUGGGGUGAAGUCGUAACAAGGUAACCGUAGGGGAACCUGCGGUUGGAUCACCUCCUUACCUUAAAGAA